AUUGAACGCUGGCGGCAUGCCUUACACAUGCAAGUCGAACGGCAGCACGGGAGCAAUCCUGGUGGCGAGUGGCGAACGGGUGAGUAAUACAUCGGAACGUGCCCAGUUGGUGGGGGAUAGCCCGGCGAAAGCCGGACUAAUACCGCAUACGACCUACGGGUGAAAGGCGGGGAUCGCAAGACCUCGCGCAAUUGGAGCGG
rnacentral:rRNA from 1 species